GUUUGAUCCMUGGCUCAGGACGAACGCUGGCGGCGUGCUUAACACAUGCAAGUCGAACGAUGAAGCCUCGCUUGCGGGGUGGAUUAGUGGCGAACGGGUGAGUAAUACGUGAGUAACCUGCCCCCUUCUUUGGGAUAAGCCUUGGAAACGGGGUCUAAUACCGGAUAUUCCUGGUUNAUCGCAUGNUGGNUUGGGGAAAGUUUUGUCGGUGGGGGAUGGGCUCGCGGCCUAUCAGCUUGUUGGUGGGGUGAUGGCCUACCAAGGCGUCGACGGGUAGCCGGCCUGAGAGGGUGACCGGCCACACUGGGACUGAGAUACGGCCCAGACUCCUACGGGAGGCAGCAGUGGGGGAUAUUGCACAAUGGGCGCAAGCCUGAUGCAGCGACGCCGCGUGAGGGAUGACGGCUUUCGGGUUGUAAACCUCUUUCGCUACCGAACAAG
rnacentral:rRNA from 1 species